rnacentral:tRNA from 1 species
GCCGGUGUAGCUCAGUUGGUAGAGCAGCGCAUUCGUAAUGCGAAGGUCGGGGGUUCGACUCCCUCUACCGGCACCA